rnacentral:lncRNA from 1 species
UUUGCAGAAGGGUCCUGGGGGUCAAUAUAGUCACGAUUGCUCAACUCUUCAUUAAGCUACAGGUUUAUAGGUUAUUUGAUAAUAAGUCCAGAAUGCAGCUGCUGUAGGAGCUUCUAAUGCACUUCUCUAUUACUUCAAGAACACUGUGUAUAAUAAUAAACUCUACAGAAAUAAACCAAAUCACAAGAAGCUUUCAGGUCUGGAGGCUGACAUUUCUCAAGACAGAUGAAGAACCUGAGGCUCACCUUGCUUAAGUGACUUGAGCAGCUUCACGCAUCUUUCUGACAUUCCAGCAAUACCGGAGCAUUGACAGUUGAUAAUAGCUCUAUGUGCUACCUCUCCAAGAAACAAAUUUGCAUUUUAACCUGCCCCUUCAAUGGCUGAACUUCAAAGGGUCACUGAUGAAUGCCACAGCAGAGAAAACUGCAAAUUGGAACAGCAGAGCUGUGCCUCUGGCCAUUUCCUGGAACUACAGAGGAGCAACUUGCCCCGGUUUCCAGUGGGUGAUGUUCCUCUUCUGCCACAGUCCCUGGCGAUGUUGAUGUGAUUGCCAUCAGAGCUCAGAAGCACAGAGCAGAAUCAUCCCCUGGAGGAGGAUUCCCUUCAGUGUAAGAAGUUCUUACAGAAUUAAUCCUCAAAGACUGUGGGUGGACUCUGCCAGGUUUUUCCCCGGGUGUACCAGAAGAGAGGAAGAGCCCUCAAAUACAGGAAAGUGCUCUUUUCAGUGACAGUAGUUCUUUUGGGCCCUGUGGCUAAGUGUGCUCCCACCCCAGCAGUAAGAUCACAGCUAAUCCUGAGAGGCAAGAGCUCACACCAGGCUACUGAAAGAAAAAGUGUCCUUUGUGGAUUGCAAGAGGAACUGGGACACACUGCUGGAAAUGAAGUGGCAGGUCAUAAACUAUCAUAAACUCAGGAGGAGAGGUGUUCCUUUUUGAGACACUCAUCACAACUAGAGAGAAUGCAGCUAAGAAAAUGCAGUCUUUAGGGGGACCUGGACUGUUGAAGUAUUUGAGCUAUUCGGAGGAAAUAGAAACUUGGAAGAGAUCUUUGUUCCACUAUUAUUUGGCAGCCCCUUACCCGCAGCUGCCAUUACUCCAGAUUCUCUCUGAUGAUCCUGCAUCAGGAGAAUGAGUUGACUGGGCACCACUGGGAAAUGUGGGCAGCUCCAGGCUGAACUAGAGAAGGGGCAUGUCAAAGGUCACUUAUUUGUGGCUUGACCCUUUGGAGGCCAGAUGUAAGAAUCAAUUUCUCACAGGUCCCAUGCUAACGCUUUUCAUAUUUAUUUCCAUCUGAGACUCACUUAGGCUAGGCAAAUAUCCCAUGGGUCUGUACCUCUCCAGUGCUUUCUUGCUCAUGUAAAAUUAGCUCAUUGGAAUGAAUAAAGAGAAUGGUAUUACUUUGGCUCGAACACGAAUGAGCACUUUCACUUUGUCAUAGUGUAAAUAUUAAAGUUGUAAGAGACAGCCCAGGGACCAACUAUUUUUUUUUUAAAGAUCCAAGUGCUUGCAUAGUUUCUAAAAUUCUACACCGGGGAACUAUAUCCUCAUUCAGCACUGAGACUCCUUGGUUCCCUAAAACCAAAGUCUCCAGGUGCCUUCAGGGGCCAACCAAGAUGGAGCUCCUUAUAGACCCAUGCAAUGUCAGAACUGGAAAACUUAGAAAUCUUUCAGUCCACCCAUCAUUUUAUGGGUGGCAAACUGAGAUCCAGAGAAUGCUCAAAUCUCAUAAUUAGCUAUGAAAGGUUAUGAUUAAAAUGCAAAUUUGGGGCCUCCAAUUUGGUCCUCUUUUCACUCUCCUUCUUGCUGGGGAAAGAACAGUGAUUCCUUGAUUGGCAGAGCAGAAAAUAUCUUCAGUUUUUAGGAUGACUUUAUUCCCCUAAAGAGUAUCUUUGUCACAUCUCCUCCUUGUCCAUUUUUAGAGACUCUACAGUGUUUAGCUACUGGUAGAUUUGUUCUAGUGGAUCUGGUACAAAUCUUAUAGAAAUAUCUACAAUUAUUCCAUGUUAUUCUGAAAUUAUUCAUACAGCAUUUCUUCUGUUUUAUUAGCCAUUUUUAAGGGAGAAGGAACCUAAGAUUAAUUGCUAUGGCUACAUGUCAUGCUCACCAAUGAACUCACCUCAUUUUAAUCCUCAUGAUCUAUUAUAGUAGGAAUGCUUGUUGUACAUAAGUAUUCAGGAUUACUGAAUCCACUUGAAUUUUUUGAGGACAGUGGCCAAAUACAAUUCUGUGGUCAAUUUAGGCUGCUCCUACUGUUCCCUGAUGUUAGGCAUUUUCUUCCACUAGGUCCUCUGGAAGGAUGAAAAACAAGGCAUUAUUAUACUUUUGAAUAAAAAUGGUUUGCCAAACAGAUUAUGUUUGUAGUUUGUGCUGUUGAACAGAAAUAAUAAAGAACUCUACUUGAAGUCUGAAACAAAUUCAGGAAAAAAUUAAAGGCAGUUUUAUUUUACAUAGUAGGGAGUAGAUUUUAGGAACUCCUUGCUCCUGGGGUAGAGCAUAUGAAUGUGUAUUCUAGAGAGAUUCAGACAAAUUCACUUAUGUUAGACAAAUGACUUUAAGGGAAACUAGGAAUGUUUUCAGGGCACAUAACCUUGUAUUUAAAAGAUACUGUUAUUAGAUCAUUUUUUCUCAUUAUAAAAAUAUGUUUUCAUUGAAGAAGAAAUUGUGGUUUACAUACAAUUAUAAAAAGAA